GCGGCGGACGGGUGAGUAACACGUGGGCAACCUGCCCUGCAGACUGGGAUAACUUCGGGAAACCGGAGCUAAUACCGGAUAACACCGAAAACCGCAUGGUUUUCGGUUGAAAGGCGGCUUUUAGCUGUCACUGCAGGAUGGGCCCGCGGCGCAUUAGCUAGUUGGUGAGGUAACGGCUCACCAAGGCGACGAUGCGUAGCCGACCUGAGAGGGUGACCGGCCACACUGGGACUGAGACACGGCCCACACUCCUACGGGAGGCAGCAGUAGGGAAUCUUCCGCAAUGGACGAAAGUCUGACGGAGCAACGCCGCGUGAGCGAAGAAGGUCUUCGGAUCGUAAAGCUCUGUUGUCAGGGAAGAACAAGUGCCGUUCGAACAGGGCGGUACCUUGACGGUACCUGACGAGGAAGCCACGGCUAACUACGUGCCAGCAGCCGCGGUAAUAC
rnacentral:rRNA from 1 species